UACGGAGGGUGCAAGCGUUAAUCGGAAUUACUGGGCGUAAAGCGUGCGCAGGCGGUUUGUUAAGUCCGCUGUGAAAUCCCCGAGCUCAACUUGGGAAUUGCAGUGGAUACUGGCAAGCUGGAGUAUGGUAGAGGAAGGUGGAAUUCCCGGUGUAGCAGUGAAAUGCGUAGAGAUCGGGAGGAACAUCUGUGGCGAAGGCGGCCAUCUGGACCAGCACUGACACUGAGGCACGAAAGCGUGGGGAGCAAACAGG
rnacentral:rRNA from 1 species